AUCCAGCUGACGAGUCCCAAAUACGACGAACCACGCGUCCUGAAU
rnacentral:hammerhead_ribozyme from 1 species